rnacentral:siRNA from 1 species
CCUCUAGGUCAUCCAGCUCUGC